GAAUGUUGGGUUAAGUCCCGCAACGAGCGCAACCCUUGUCUUUAGUUGCCAUCAUUAAGUUGGGCACUCUAAAGAGACUGCCGAUGACAAAUCGGAGGAAGUGGGGAUGACGUCAAAUCAUCAUGCCCUUUAUGUCCUGGGCUACACACGUGCUACAAUGGUCGGUACAACGAGAAGCAAGUCAGCGAUGGCAAGCAAAUCUCUAAAAGCCGAUCCCAGUUCGGAUUGCAGGCUGCAACUCGCCUGCAUGAAGUCGGAGUUGCUAGUAAUCGCGGAUCAGAAUGCCGCGGUCGAAUACGUUCCCGGGCCUU
rnacentral:rRNA from 2 species